rnacentral:rRNA from 1 species
UACGGAGGAUCCGAGCGUUAUCCGGAUUUAUUGGGUUUAAAGGGUGCGUAGGCGGCCUGUUAAGUCAGGGGUGAAAGACGGUAGCUUAACUAUCGCAGUGCCCUUGAUACUGACGGGCUUGAAUGUAGUUGAGGCAGGCGGAAUGUGACAAGUAGCGGUGAAAUGCAUAGAUAUGUCACAGAACACCCAAUUGCGAAGGCAGCUGCUAAACUAUGAUUGACGCUGAGGCACGAAAGCGUGGGGAGCGAACAGG